rnacentral:ncRNA from 1 species
AAAAGCACUGUGAAAAGGUGAGUAGAGAAGGAAACUUGUUUAGAGAGUCUCGGUAGGUGAAAAGAGAUCAAGGUUGAAUUUUUGAAGAUGGCCUUGGAGUGUUAGAUAUUGAAUGAUUAAAUAUCUACGGGUAGCCCGAUAUAGCAAGAGUAUAAAGAUACUUAUAGAGGGAAUUAUUGAGAAAUAAUUCUAAAACAAGGUGGUAACGCGAAUUUUCGUCCUUGCA